rnacentral:rRNA from 1 species
UACGUAGGGGGCGAGCGUUAUCCGGAAUUACUGGGCGUAAAGCGCACGCAGGCGGUCUACCAAGUUUUGGAGUGACAGUUUCCGGCUCAACCGGGAAAGUACUUUGAAAACUGGUAGACUUGAGGACGAGAGAGGAACAUGGAACUCCAGGUGUAGUAGUGAAAUGCGUAGAUAUCUGGAAGAACACCAAAGGCGAAGGCAAUGUCUGGCUCGUUUCUGACGCUCAGGUGCGAAAGCCAGGGGAGCGAACGGGAGUUAAGAAACCC